UUUUCUGCAGGGGGCCUGGGAGGGGUGCUAAAAAUCCACAGGAGCAGAGCGUUCAAGAGUCAGGGCCCCUCAAAAGUCAGAGCAGCUGUGGCCUCUUCUACCUGGCCAUCAGCACUGUCCAAGAAGAACCAAUAGCUGCAUGUGGCUAUUUCAAUUGAAGCAGAUUAAAACUACAUGAUAUUCAAGAAUCUAGUUCCUCACUUGCAUUCAUGUGCCACUCAAACUGAAGAGCCACAUGCGGUUAGUGGCUUCCAUACUGGAGAGCAUCCAGAACACGGCCAUCAUCACUAAACCCUAUACUAGACUGUACUGCAUUCCAGAACCGAAUAUUAAAACUCUGAACUCCCCUGGGGGCAAAAACUGUCCUUCACCUCUAGAAAUGCUGUUCCUAUCAGACUGCCAGGCACAGC